UACAGGGGGUGCAAGCGUUAUUCGGAAUUAUUGGGCGUAAAGAGCGUGUAGGUGGUUUACUAAGUUUGGUGUGAAAGCCCUGGGCUCAAUCCAGGAAGUGCAUUGAAUACUGGUAGACUAGAGUAGAGGAGAGGAUGGCGGAAUUCCAGGUGUAGAGGUGAAAUUCGUAGAUAUCUGGAGGAACAACAGUGGCGAAGGCGGCCAUCUGGACUCUUUACUGACACUAAGGCGCGAAAGCGUGGGAGCAAACAGG
rnacentral:rRNA from 1 species